AUUGAACGCUGGCGGCAUGCUUUACACAUGCAAGUCGAACGGCAGCACGGGCUUCGGCCUGGUGGCGAGUGGCGAACGGGUGAGUAAUAUAUCGGAACGUACCCAGAAGUGGGGGAUAACGUAGCGAAAGUUACGCUAAUACCGCAUACGAUCUAUGGAUGAAAGCAGGGGACCGCAAGGCCUUGUGCUCCUGGAGCGGCCGAUAUCUGAUUAGCUAGUUGGUGAGGUAAAGGCUCACCAAGGCGACGAUCAGUAGCUGGUCUGAGAGGACGACCAGCCACACUGGAACGGGGACACGGCCCAGACUCCUAGGGGAGGCGGAAGUGGGGAUUUUUGAACAAGGGGCGCAGGCCUGAUCAAGCAAUGCGGGGUGAGGGAAGAGGCCUUUGGGUUUGUAAGUCUUUUUUGUCGGGAAAAAAAGGUAAGGGCCUAAUAUCUUUGCUAAAGGCCGAUACCGAAAAAAAAAGCCCCGGCAAAUUCCGUG
rnacentral:rRNA from 1 species